rnacentral:rRNA from 1 species
GACGAACGCUGGCGGCGUGCUUAACACAUGCAAGUCGAACGGACAGGCCCUGCUUUUGUGGGGUGCUCGAGUUGCGAACGGGUGAGUAACACUUGAGUAACCUGCCCUUGACUUUGGGAUAACUUCAGGAAACUUGGGCUAAUACCGGAUAGGAGCUCCUGCUGCAUGGUGGGGGUUGGAAAGUUUCGGCGGUUGGGGAUGGACUCGCGGCUUAUCAGCUUGUUGGUGGGGUAGUGGCUUACCAAGGCUUUGACGGGUAGCCGGCCUGAGAGGGUGACCGGCCAAAUUGGGACUGAGAUACGGCACAGACUACUACGGGAGGCAGCGGUGGGGAAGAGAGCACAAUGGAAGGAAGCCUGAUGCAGCAAAGCCGCGUGCGGGAUGACGGCAUUCGGGUUGUAAACCGAUUUCGCCUGUGACGAAGAGUGAGUGACGGUAAUGGGUAAAGAAGCACCGGCUAACUACGUG